GUGGGGAAUCUUGCGCAAUGGGCGAAAGCCUGACGCAGCCAUGCCGCGUGAAUGAUGAAGGUCUUAGGAUUGUAAAAUUCUUUCACCGGGGACGAUAAUGACGGUACCCGGAGAAGAAGCUCCGGCUAACUUCGUGCCAGCAGCCGCGGUAAUACGAAGGGGGCUAGCGUUGCUCGGAAUUACUGGGCGUAAAGGGCGCGUAGGCGGACAGCUUAGUCAGAGGUGAAAGCACAGGGCUCAACCUUGGAAUUGCCUUUGAUACUGGCUGUCUUGAGUUUGGGAGAGGUGGGUGGAACUCCGAGUGUAGAGGUGAAAUUCGUAGAUAUUCGGAAGAACACCAGUGGCGAAGGCGACUCACUGGCCCAAUACUGACGCUGAGGCGCGAAAGCGUGGGGAGCAAACAGGAUUAGAAACCCGAGUAGUCC
rnacentral:rRNA from 1 species